GUCUACGGCCAUACAACCCUGAACGCGCCCGAUCUCGUCUGACCUCGGAAGCUCAGCAGGGUCGGGCCUGGUUGGUACUUAGAUGGGAGACCACCUGGGAAUACCGGGUGCUGUACGCU
rnacentral:rRNA from 1 species